rnacentral:tRNA from 1 species
UGCGCGUUAGUGUAAAGUGCACUAGGAUUUUUGGUAUCCUGAGAAUUGGUGAGAGUCCAUUGUGCGUAA